CAGUCGCCGCGGUAAUACGUAGGGUGCAAGCGUUAAUCGGAAUUACUGGGCGUAAAGCGUGCGCAGGCGGUCCGCUAAGACAGAUGUGAAAUCCCCGGGCUUAACCUGGGAACUGCAUUUGUGACUGGCGGGCUAGAGUAUGGCAGAGGGGGGUAGAAUUCCACGUGUAGCAGUGAAAUGCGUAGAGAUGUGGAGGAAUACCGAUGGCGAAGGCAGCCCCCUGGGCCAAUACUGACGCUUAUGCACGAAAGCGUGGGGAGCAAAUGGGAUUAGAUACCCCCGUAGUCCCUGUCUCUUAUAC
rnacentral:rRNA from 1 species